GACGAACGCUGGCGGCGUGCCUAAUGCAUGCAAGUCGCACGGGUCACCUUCGGGUGGCCAGUGGCGCACGGCUGAGGAACACGUGCGUACCGGCCCCCUCGUGGGGGAUAACACUGCGAAAGUGGUGCUAAUCCCGCAUACGUUCUCGCGAAGAAAGCCUUCGGGCGCGGGGGGACGGGCGUGCGGCCCAUCAGGUUGUUGGCGGGGUAAUGGCCCACCAAGCCCGUGACGGGUUGCUGGUCUGUGAGGAUGAUCAGCCAGACUGGGGCUGAGACAC
rnacentral:rRNA from 1 species